GGCACGCCGGCGGCCAAGUUAACUCUUGUUUUUACACUGAAACUCUGAGAAAAAAACACAAAUGAAUCAAAACUUUCAACAACGGAUCUCUUGGUUCUGGCAUCGAUGAAGAACGCAGCGAAAUGCGAUAAGUAAUGUGAAUUGCAGAAUUCAGUGAAUCAUCGAAUCUUUGAACGCACAUUGCGCCCUCUGGUAUUCCGGAGGGCAUGCCUGUUCGAGCGUCAUUUCAACCCUCAAGCAUUGCUUGGUGUUGGGGCACUGCUUUUUACCGAGCAGGCCCUGAAAUCUAGUGGCGAGCUCGCCAGGACCCCGAGCGCAGUAGUUAAACCCUCGCUCUGGAAGGCCCUGGCGGUGCCCUGCCGUUAAACCCCCAACUUUUGAAAAUUUGACCUCGGAUCAG
rnacentral:rRNA from 1 species